rnacentral:rRNA from 1 species
AUUGAACGCUGGCGGUAUGCUUAACACAUGCAAGUCGAACGAGUGGCGGACGGGUGAGGAAUGCAUAGGAAUCUACCUUUUAGUCUAGGAUAACUACCCGAAAGGGUGGCUAAUACUGGAUGCUAAGAGAUGAGCCUAUGUGGAAUUCUCUAGUUGGUGGGUUAAUGGCUAACAAAGGCGACGAUCUCUAGCUGGUUUGAUAGGAUGAUCAGCCACACUGGGACGGAGACACGGCCCAGACUCCUACGGGAGGAAGCAGUGGGGAAUAGUGGACAAUGGGCGAAAGCCUGAUCAAGCAAUACCGCGUGUGGGAAGAAGGCCCUAGGGUUGUAAAGCACUUUUGUUAGGGAGAGGGUACCUAAAGAAUAAGCACCGGCUAACUCCGUGCCAGCAGCCGCGGUAAUA